rnacentral:piRNA from 2 species
UAGGAGACCAAAUAAAACGUCAAUUUACGAU